GAUGAACGCUGGCGGCGUGCCUAAUACAUGCAAGUCGAGCGAACAGACGAGGAGCUUGCUCCUCUAACGUUAGCGGCGGACGGGUGAGUAACACGUGGAUAACCUACCUAUAAGACUGGGAUAACUUCGGGAAACCGGAGCUAAUACCGGAUAAUAUAUUGAACCGCAUGGUUCAAUAGUGAAAGACGGUUUUGCUGUCACUUAUAGAUGGAUCCGCGCCUCAUUAGCUAGUUGGUAAGGUAACAGCUUACCAAGGCAACGAUGCGUAGCCGACCUGAGAGGGUGAUCGGCCACACUGGAACUGAGACACGGUCCAGACUCCUACGGGAGGCAGCAGUAGGGAAUCUUCCGCAAUGGGCGAAAGCCUGACGGAGCAACGCCGCGUGAGUGAUGAAGGUCUUCGGAUCGUAAAACUCUGUUAUUAGGGAAGAACAAAUGUGUAAGUAACUAUGCACGUCUUGACGGUACCUAAUCAGAAAGCCACGGCUAACUACGUG
rnacentral:rRNA from 1 species